rnacentral:rRNA from 1 species
GACGAACGCUGGCGGCGUGCCUAAUACAUGCAAGUCGAGCGGACGAAUCGAAAGCUUGCUUUUGAUUCGUUAGCGGCGGACGGGUGAGUAACACGUGGGCAACCUGCCCUGUAGACGGGGAUAACACCGAGAAAUCGGUGCUAAUACCGGAUAACACGAAAUGUCGCAUGACGUUUCGUUGAAAGACGGCGCAAGCUGUCGCUACAGGAUGGGCCCGCGGCGCAUUAGCUAGUUGGUGAGGUAACGGCUCACCAAGGCGACGAUGCGUAGCCGACCUGAGAGGGUGAUCGGCCACACUGGGACUGAGACACGGCCCAGACUCCUACGGGAGGCAGCAGUAGGGAAUCUUCCGCAAUGGACGAAAGUCUGACGGAGCAACGCUGCGUGAGCGAAGAAGGCCUUCGGGUCGUAAAGCUCUGUUGUUAGGGAAGAACAAGUAACGCAGUAACUGGCGUUACCGUGACGGUACCUAACGAGAAAGCCACGGCUAACUACGUG